rnacentral:tRNA from 1 species
GCCGAAGUGGCGGAAUUGGCAGACGCGCUACGUUCAGGGCGUAGUGGGCGAAAGCCUGUGGGAGUUCGAGUCUCCCCUUCGGCACCA